AUUGAACGCUGGCGGCAGGCCUAACACAUGCAAGUCGAGCGAGCGGCGGACGGGGGAGUAAUGUAUGGGGACUGCCCGAUAGAGGGGGAUAACUACUGGAAACAGUAGCUAAUACCGCAUACUAUCGGAUAACCCAUAUGGGAUGAGCUAGUAGGUGAGGUAAUGGCUCACCUAGGCGACGAUCCCUAUCUGGGCUGAGAGGAUGAUCAGCCACACUGGGACUGAGAAACGGCCCAGACUACUACGGAGGCAGCAGUGGGGAAGAUUGCACAAUGGGCGCAAGCAUGAUGCAGCCAUGCAGCGUGUAUGAAGAAGGCCCUAGGGUUGUAAAGUACUUGCAGUCGGGAGGCGUUACCGACAGAAGAAGCACCGGCUAACUCCGUGCCAGCAGCCGCGGUAAUAC
rnacentral:rRNA from 1 species